GACGAACGCUGGCGGCGUGCUUAACACAUGCAAGUCGAACGGAAAGGCCCUGCUUUUGUGGGGUGCUCGAGUGGCGAACGGGUGAGUAACACGUGAGUAACCUGCCCUCGACUUUGUGAUAACUUCAGGAAACUGGGGCUAAUACCGGAUAGGAGCUCCUGCUGCAUGGUGGGGGUUGGAAAGUGUCGGCGGUUGGGGAUGGACUCGCGGCUUAUCAGCUUGUUGGUGGGGUAGUGGCUUACCAAGGCUUUGACGGGUAGCCGGCCUGAGAGGGUGACCGGCCACAUUGGGACUGAGAUACGGCCCAGACUCCUACGGGAGGCAGCAGUGGGGAAUAUUGCACAAUGGGCGGAAGCCUGAUGCAGCAACGCCGCGUGCGGGAUGACGGCCUUCGGGUUGUAAACCGCUUUCGCCUGUGACGAAGCGUGAGUGACGGUAAUGGGUAAAGAAGCACCGGCUAACUACGUG
rnacentral:rRNA from 1 species